rnacentral:rRNA from 1 species
GUGUCAGCAGCCGCGGUAAUACAGAGGGUGCGAGCGUUGUUCGGAAUUACUGGGCGUAAAGCGCGCGCAGGCGGCCCUUUAAGUCUGUCGGUCAAACGCCGGGGCUCAACCCCGUGCUCGCCGGAGAUACUGGAGGGCUGGAGACAGGUAGAGGCAGGCGGAAUUCCGGGUGUAGCGGUGGAAUGCGUAGAGAUCCGGAAGAACACCAGAGGCGAAGGCGGCCUGCUGGGCCUUGUCUGACGCUGAGGCGCGAAAGCGUGGGGAGCGAACAGGAUUAGAUACCCCUGUAGUCC